rnacentral:rRNA from 1 species
GACGAACGCUGGCGGCGUGCCUAAUACAUGCAAGUAGAACGCUGAAGAGAGGAGCUUGCUCUUCUUGGAUGAGUUGCGAACGGGUGAGUAACGCGUAGGUAACCUGCCUUGUAGCGGGGGAUAACUAUUGGAAACGAUAGCUAAUACCGCAUAACAAUGGAUGACACAUGUCAUUUAUUUGAAAGGGGCAAUUGCUCCACUACAAGAUGGACCUGCGUUGUAUUAGCUAGUAGGUGAGGUAACGGCUCACCUAGGCGACGAUACAUAGCCGACCUGAGAGGGUGAUCGGCCACACUGGGACUGAGACACGGCCCAGACUCCUACGGGAGGCAGCAGUAGGGAAUCUUCGGCAAUGGGGGCAACCCUGACCGAGCAACGCCGCGUGAGUGAAGAAGGUUUUCGGAUCGUAAAGCUCUGUUGUAAGUCAAGAACGAGUGUGAGAGUGGAAAGUUCACACUGUGACGGUAGCUUACCAGAAAGGGACGGCUAACUACGUGCCAGCAGCCGCGGUAAUACGUAGGUCCCGAGCGUUGUCCGGAUUUAUUGGGCGUAAAGCGAGCGCAGGCGGUUUGAUAAGUCUGAAGUUAAAGGCUGUGGCUCAACCAUAGUUCGCUUUGGAAACUGUCAAACUUGAGUGCAGAAGGGGAGAGUGGAAUUCCAUGUGUAGCGGUGAAAUGCGUAGAUAUAUGGAGGAACACCGGUGGCGAAAGCGGCUCUCUGGUCUGUAACUGACGCUGAGGCUCGAAAGCGUGGGGAGCGAACAGGAUUAGAUACCCUGGUAGUCCACGCCGUAAACGAUGAGUGCUAGGUGUUGGAUCCUUUCCGGGAUUCAGUGCCGCAGCUAACGCAUUAAGCACUCCGCCUGGGGAGUACGACCGCAAGGUUGAAACUCAAAGGAAUUGACGGGGGCCCGCACAAGCGGUGGAGCAUGUGGUUUAAUUCGAAGCAACGCGAAGAACCUUACCAGGUCUUGACAUCCCGAUGCUAUUUCUAGAGAUAGAAAGUUACUUCGGUACAUCGGUGACAGGUGGUGCAUGGUUGUCGUCAGCUCGUGUCGUGAGAUGUUGGGUUAAGUCCCGCAACGAGCGCAACCCCUAUUGUUAGUUGCCAUCAUUCAGUUGGGCACUCUAGCGAGACUGCCGGUAAUAAACCGGAGGAAGGUGGGGAUGACGUCAAAUCAUCAUGCCCCUUAUGACCUGGGCUACACACGUGCUACAAUGGUUGGUACAACGAGUUGCGAGUCGGUGACGGCAAGCUAAUCUCUUAAAGCCAAUCUCAGUUCGGAUUGUAGGCUGCAUCUCGCCUACAUGAAGUCGGAAUCGCUAGUAAUCGCGGAUCAGCACGCCGCGGUGAAUACGUUCCCGGGCCU